rnacentral:rRNA from 1 species
CACGUAGGGACCAAGCGUUGUCCGGAUUCAUUGGGCGUAAAGAGCUCGUAGGCGGUUCGGUAAGUCGGGUGUGAAACCUCCAGGCUCAACCUGGAGACGCCACCCGAUACUGCCGUGACUAGAGUCCAGUAGGGGAGCGUGGAAUUCCUGGUGUAGCGGUGAAAUGCGCAGAUAUCAGGAGGAACACCGGUGGCGAAGGCGGGUCUCUGGGCCGUAACUGACGCUGAGGAGCGAAAGCAUGGGGAGCGAACAGG